rnacentral:lncRNA from 1 species
CACCCAUCAUCCUUGGAAGACCGUUCCUCAGCACCGUUAAAGCAAUUAUCUACAUUGGAACCGAAGAAGUCCAUAUGCACUUCCCCUCAGAGAAGGUACGCCGUUAUUUUACUGACCCUAACUAUAUCGUUGAAGAAUCUAAGCAGGUAAGGAAAUGACGCAACCGCAACCAGAGGAUGCAAAUCAUCAAGGACGGAUGGGCAAACUACGAAGGAGAAGUUAUAAGGUCAGAAGACGUAGAGUUUAAACAGAAUUAUCCAGAGGAGACCGUAGCACCGAGUCAGGCAUGGAAAGAGAAGAUAACUAUACAUGAAGAGGAGGCGCUGCCGGAAGUACCGACUACGCCACCCAACGAAUCCCAGGACAAUUGAGAAAAAUGGAGAGUCCCGUUCGGAGGACUUAAAAACACCGAACGCCUUGCCAAAAGGUAAACUUGGUAGUUAUCAUUUUCCUUUCAAUUAUUUCAACUAGUUUACUUGUUAAUCAUGUUCGUGCUAUCCUAAAAAGAAAAUAAAAAUGUUGAAAACAGUGAGCCCCAUGUGAGUAGACGAGUGGCAUAAAACCCAUAAGUACAUUCACUGUGGUGGCAUAAAAAUAAUAUAAAUAUUUCUUUUCUGCUCUAUAAAAAUGAAAAUAUAAAAACAGGGAGUAAUAAUUAUUAAGGAGUCUCAACAUGAUAAAGGCUAGAUAUUUAUGCUAACACUUAACCAGUUCCACAAGCUUUGUUGUCUAUUUGAGCUCCACAGGAUUUAAGAAGCAGAUGGAGGACAUUCUAAUCGCUGUCAGAAUGCUGCUGACUUUCAAAUACACCUCUGCCACCUGCUAGCUACAUCAUGAGAAAUUACGUCAAAAUUCAGCUUGGGGGAGAGCACCCCCAUUUAUCCCGAUAAGUAUUUCUAUCUAUCUAUCUAUCUUUAUACUAAUAUUAUAUUAGAAUAUAAAUAUAUAAAACUAUGAAAAACCAAAUAAAGAUUUUGUGCUUAUAUAAAUAUAUGUCUUUCGCUUAUUGUGUUUAAUAAAUAAAUAAAGUGGCUAUACUAAUCUGUAUCUUAAUAAUAAAACUCAAGCAUGGAUAUGAUGAAUAGUUGCUCUGCCUAAUUUGCACAUUUGAAGUUCUCUCUCAAGUUUAGACAUAACUGUUAUAAUUUAAGGCUUUCUCUAGACCUAAACUUGUGGGAUGAAAACUUGAUCUGAAGUCUAAGUUGUUAACGGAUACGAUAUGGGAAGGUUGAGCUGUUGUUUAUCUGUUCCUAGAGAUGCUAGAAUUCUGGAGAAUUUUAUCUUUGAAAAAAAAUCUUUAAAAUGUUGCAUGAUGAGUUCCUGUAUGAUGAGAGUUUAAAUUCCUACCACAGCCAUAUAUACAUGCUUGCUAAACUUUGAGCCACACAUUUACUAUUUACUGCUUAUGAGCAUUGAGUGUGGUCAAGCUGUGUAGACCCUUAGGAGCUUGUCAUGUGGUUAAAUCAAGAUUUCACUUGCACGUUCACUCAUAUAUGCUACUUCUACUCCGGAAGUACCAUCCACAUAUAUCCACUCAUUUCCAUCUCCAGAAUCACCUAAAAAUAUUCUACUCCUAAUCCGGGAGAGAAUAGCCAAAAAUAUUUUUGUUUUUCCCUUGUGAAAUAAAUGCUCAAGUUAUCUUGUUACUACCACUUGCUACAUUAUUUCAAGAGAUGAGUGCUCUGAAAAAAAAAUGAGGAAAUAAAAAGGAGCAAGUGCUCGGAACCUCGAAAGAAAAGAAAAAGUGAGACGAGAGGUAAAAAUGGACAAGUGUUCUAUAGUAGAAUUAGGGGUACAAGAUACCCACCUGAGAGAAAAGAAAAAAAUAUAGAGCAUCUCAUUCUCCUCACAAAGUUUCAAAAAGCAAGAAAGGUAUGUAUCCCCUCAAAAGAGCAAAAGUAGAAUUAGACUUCCAUCACCAUUGUUUUCACCAUUGUUAUCACCAUCAUUACCAUACACCAUUCAUUCGCCACACAUGCACAUCUUGAUUUGACUUAUUGAUUUGUUUCUUUGGAUCCAUGGUUUGACUAUGCAAUAAAUGUCUUGUAAGUAUGUAUAUUUUAUCUCCCACCUAUGAGCUCCAGAUAUUAAAGCCUUAUUAGAGUAGGGUGAGAGAGAAGACAAUGUCACUAUGCUUUAUACCACAAAUACUACAUACUUGAGAGAAGGCAUAUACCAUCACUGCCUUGGUAAGGAUCCAGAAAUACCACAAAAGAGAGAUUUGAGAGAGUCAUACAAGGAAUCUCUGAGUUUUAUUUGAAAAUCUGCAAAAGCACUAGAGCUAUAGCUGAUCAAGAAUAAGAGACAUGGCACUUGACUAGACUGUUCUAUCUUUUAACUACUCAAGACAGAAGUGACGGUUACAAGUCCCAUGGUAAAGGUAAAGUAGGUAAGUUUUAAGUCUUGACAGUUUACUCUAACUCAGAGAUGAGAUCUUAUUUAAAAAGCAUGUGUACUGUCAAUUUUUAAAGAUAUUGCAACAACUUAUGAUCCAUAGCUGAGUCUAUCCUUGCUCAGGGACGAGCAAGAGGUAAGGUUGGGGGAGUUUGUUGAUGGUCCUUAAGUAUCAAAUUUAAAUAUCAAAUAAACAAAGAAAAGGAUCCAAAUGAAAUCAACAUCUAGACUUAGGGUUUUAUCUGACAGAAUUCCACGAGUUUCGGUGUUUGUCUAUUUCUGCAGGGGGUUAUGAGGAUAUACGGAAGAAAGGCCCACACGUCGGGAUUACAUAGAGAUAUUAACGUGCCGCGCAAUUAUCUCACAUCUAGAAGACUCCAGAAGCCACGAGACCGAAGCAGAGGCGAAACGGGGCCAGAGGCAGGGUGCCCGCCCUGUUCCCUUGGGCGCCCGCCCCCUCCCUGAGUCCAAUCAGGACUCUGCUUCGUGGGAGAUCUCCACCGACCUAAAGGAUGAAUCUAAACCAUACAAUCUAUGUCGGUUUGAUCCAACGGCCCAUAUUCACUUGAAGGGACUAUAAAACCAGACCUCCUGGCCCCUGGAGGAGGGAGCCUCUCAACCCUAAUUCAUUGUUCUUCAAGGGAGAAGAAGACUCUGAUCAAGAUUAGAGCCACCACAUCAAUUAGAUAUCUAGAUUAGCAUAGCUACAUAGGAUUAGAACUAGAAGGAGUCAAUCUUCGAUUGGUUUCCGGAUCUGUCAAGAGGAUUCUUGGUAAUUCUAUAAUUGUGCUUCUAAUUGCUUUAUAAUUAUCUUUGUUCUUCAAUAUUAUGAAUAUGACUUUGUUCUACUUCAAUAUAUUGCUUAUGACUUUGCUCUACUUGCUUAUAUUCAAGAUUAUAUUGUUCUUAGUUUAUCAUAGUUAUGUACUUGGCUUAGUUAGAUUGGAUUUAUAUACAUGCUUAGGAUCGUAUAGCGUUUAUCCAUCGGAUCCAUGGGUAAAUGAUAGAUAUUGUGUAGGUGUGGUGCUUAUACCGUAUUUAUCUCUGAUUGUACCCAA